rnacentral:tRNA from 1 species
GUUUCCAUGGUCUAGUGGUUAGGACGGCGGUCUCAUAAUAUGACGAUUCCUCUAAAGGAGUUGCAAUCCGCAAGCACGAGUUCGAUUCUCGUUGGAAGCA